GGUGAUUGUAAAUGAAUUCCGGUGAAUUCCGGUGAUUAGUCUACCCGCCUGUGGCUGCAUAUUUUUUUCAUUUUGGUCGAAAUACGUUUGAUUUCAGUUUAAUUGAUGUAAAUGUAUCAUUAUCCAGUCUAUUAAUGAAAUAUGUAGUACUUACUUACAUAUAACCGUCACUGGUGUAAUGGAAAAAGAUGUUAUAAAAUGAUUUGAAGUCAUAACGAUUAGCCUAUCAUAAUGAUAAUAGGCCUACUAAUGAUAUUAAAUAUGAAUUACUAUUUUUAUUAUUAGCCUUUCUUUUGAAACUAAAUAAAUCGCACAUAUUUCUUUUUACAAUAAAAAUCUCAAUCAAAUGGGUGAGAUUUUUCAUGGUUUUGAGUUGCUGCUCUUUAAAAGGUUCCAGUCUCACCCCGACCAGUGGAGAGAAUGGAGAGGAAAAUUAAUGGAGAAAGUUGGGAAAUCGGGAUUGGUCAUUGAAGAUUUAGACGAUUUGGGUAAUAUCCCUCAAAAUCUCUGGUAUUUAUCUGUAUCACUGCAUACCAGACAGAAAUAUUUACUCUCAUUGAUGAAAGAUGAAAUAGAAAGAGAGAAGAAAAAGCAAAUACCUCGUCAAAAUGAAACUUUGUUAUCACAGUAUUUGUCCCAACACCAGUUUACAGAGUUCCAUUUAGACAGUAUGUUUAAAUAUGGCGAUGAUAAUCAAUUGGUGAGAGAGGUUAGU